CCUACGGGAGGCAGCAGUGGGGAAUAUUGCACAAUGGGGGAAACCCUGAUGCAGCGACGCCGCGUGAAGGAAGAAGUAUUUCGGUAUGUAAACUUCUAUCAGCAGGGAAGAAAAUGACGGUACCUGACUAAGAAGCCCCGGCUAACUACGUGCCAGCAGCCGCGGUAAUACGUAGGGGGCAAGCGUUAUCCGGAUUUACUGGGUGUAAAGGGAGCGUAGGCGGUUUAGCAAGGCAGAAGUGAAAGCCCGGGGCUAAACUCCGGGACUGCUUUUGAAACUGGUGAACUAGAUUGCAGGCGAGGUAAGUGGAAUGACUAGGGUAGAGGUGCAAUGCGGAGAUAGUAGGAGGA
rnacentral:rRNA from 1 species